rnacentral:rRNA from 1 species
CAAAAACAUGUCUUUUUGUUAUUUAUUUAAAGUCUAAUCUGCCCACUGAUAAUUUAAAUGGCCGCAGUAUUUUAACUGUGCAAAGGUAGCAUAAUCAUUAGUCUCUUAAUUAGAGGCUUGUAUGAAUGGUUGGACGAAAUAUAUGCUGUUUCAAUUAAAUUGAUAUUGAAUUUUAUUUUUCAGUCAAAAAGCUGAGAUUAAGAUAAAAGACGAGAAGACCCUAUAGAUCUUUAUAAUUGCUGGUUUUUAGCUUUUAAGAUUAAUUCUGUUAUGAAUUUUGUAAUUAUUUUGUUGGGGUGACAUUAAAAUUUAUAUAACUUUUAUAUUUUAUUACAUUUAUUUAUGAAUAAAAUUGAUCCGGUAUUACUGAUUAAUAAAUUAAGUUACCUUAGGGAUAACAGCGUAAUUUUUUUAGAGAGUUCAUAUCGAAAAAAGAGAUUGCGACCUCGAUGUUGGAUUAAGAGAGAACCUAGGUGUAGAAGUUUAGGUUUUCAAGUCUGUUCGACUUUUAAUAUCUUACAUGAUCU